rnacentral:rRNA from 1 species
UACGUAGGGGGCAAGCGUUGUCCGGAAUCAUUGGGCGUAAAGGGUGCGUAGGUGGCGCGGUAAGUCGGGUGUGAAAUUUCGGAGCUUAACUCCGAAACUGCAUUCGAUACUGCCGUGCUUGAGGACUGGAGAGGAGACUGGAAUUUACGGUGUAGCAGUGAAAUGCGUAGAGAUCGUAAGGAAGACCAGUGGCGAAGGCGGGUCUCUGGACAGUUCCUGACGCUGAGGCACGAAGGUCAGGGGAGCAAACGGG